UAGCAGGGAAUGGUUUCUUAAGAUGGC
rnacentral:piRNA from 1 species